UACGGAGGGUGCAAGCGUUAUUCGGAAUGACUGGGCGUAAAGCGCGCGUAGGCGGCUUUCUAAGUCUGAUGUGAAAUCCCCGAACUCAAUUUGGGAAGUGCAUUGGAUACUGGAGAGCUAGAGUACAGGAGAGGAGAGCGGAAUUCCGAGUGUAGAGGUGAAAUUCGUAGAUAUUCGGAGGAACAACGGAGGCGAAGGCGGCUCUCUGGACUGUAACUGACGCUGAGGCGCGAAAGCGUGGGUAGCAAACAGG
rnacentral:rRNA from 1 species